GUUUAUUAUUAUGCAUAACAAUAUUCUAGACAAAAAAAUAUUUAAGAUUAUUAAAUCUUCUAGUGGUUAAGGAUCUGCCUUUUCUGUUUCCCAAACCCUGGAGACAGAGCUAUAACCUCAUCAUUUCACCUCUCUCAAACAGAUAAUUCUUGGGUAAAGAGGGGAAGCAAAGUGUUGUAUAAAUUGCUGCUGUGUGCAGGUGACUGAACUUGGAAGGGUCGAGAAGCACCGUAGUAGGAAAUACAGAUUUUCCCUGACAGUUUGGUGAGGACUAGAGAAGACGUUGAGCAGUCUCAGCACUGGAUAAAGAGGCUUAAGAAAUAUACAGUCGGAAAACAAUUUUAACUCCUGAUUUAGAAGGUAUAGAGAAGUUCAAUCAUCUGGUGAGAUUAAUACUUCUCAGAAAGGCCUAAUGAUUGCCAUAAAAUAGUUCUCACUCUCGGUUCCCCUGCAACAGAAGCUCUUUGCUCAGAAGGAAACUUAUCUCAAUGAGUGGAAACACCCCACGCAGUUAUGCGCCCUCAGUUGAUCUGGCACUGCCCUGAGAAUGCCUUAUAAUGGGCAAAUGGAGAAAAGGAUGCAGCCUUCCCUUCACUUCCCACACCCAGCAGAAAGGGGAGGAUUACCUGCCAGUUGAGAGCAAGCUUUGGAGUUGGUCCAAAGCCAGGCCUGACACCUCUAAACUGACCCCACAAGCCUUUGGUGUAACUUGGCCUGGUGGCCUGGUGGCAUGAGAAAACACAUUAUUUUACAAAUCCUCAACCAAAGCAGACUUAAUCUGCAAAGCAAGAGUUGGUAGAUGGAGAGAUGCAGAUCUCUCUUUAAAUUAUUCAAAGGAUGCCCUGGCUGGGGCUUCUGUAACAGGAGGGGCAACACCACUUCAGGCCUACUCAUGGGCUUUCAUGCUCUGGAAGCAGAAGGAGCAAACAUCUGGCUAGAAUCUUGGCAAAGAUUUAUAUAGGUGCCUGCCUUACGCCAGGUAGUGGGCUAGCUCAUUGACUGUUCAUCACACUGCCACUGCCCUCUCUGUGGACGGAGACUUCCCAGGUAGGCCUGGGAUUCAGGCCUGUGCCUUAAACCAUUGUGCAUCACUGUCUCAGGAUGCUGAGUUUUAGCUUGAGGUCUUGCUCUCCCUAGCCACUAACAUCCCCAUGAAAUAUAAAAUGAGCAUUUCUGGCUGUAUAUGUGAAAGCAACUUAGUAGAAGCCACUCCUCAGGAGGCCUGAAAAGUGAGAGAAAAGGACUACCAGCUUAAGAGGGCAGGGUGUAGGGUUCAGGGAAAAAUGCCAGACAUACCUAUUUUGGGUUUGGAUGAGGACAAGCUGUUUCUUUGUGCUUUGUUCUGAAGACUUUUCUAGUGUAUAGAGCCUGUCCUUAUGACUUAAGAGUAUUUCAUUCAGCAGUAACCCAAGGGUGUUUCUGGUAAUAAGGAAAAAAAACAAAACACUUUUGAAAGUUAUGAGUGUGAAUUAUCUUAAGUGGGCAUCCUUAUAGUCCGGACAUGAAAGAUUUUAAAUUCAAGGCCACGUGCUUUGAUCUGACCCUAUUUCAUAAUAGCACAGCCAAGAGCGACUAGCCAAACCCUGGAAGAAAUAGGUACUUUGAAUUUUGGAGUAGCUGGUGGUUAAUUUCAAACCAAACCACUGCUGAAGUAAAGAUGCAGGUAACAAGUCUGCUUUUCCAGAGAAUUCUUCAUGGGUAGAGCACCCCAUCGUGCUCUUAUUAAGGAUUGAACUCCCGUUUGAGAUUGCAAGUGAACUGAGAGCCAGAAUUCUGGGUGCCUGGUGGUAUCACCAAAAAGGUGUGUGACCUUGGGGCACCCAUAUCACUUCUCAUCUUUGUUUCCCUAUUGAAAACAUGAACUUAUACACAAAUCUAAAAAACACACACUUGGACAUUCACAUGGAAACCAUAAAAACUAUGAACAUGUCAACCACACACAUGGUGUUGCUUAGAAAUGCCCUUUGGGUCCUAUAGAUGCAAUUGAAUUCCAGUAAGGACAGUCUCUAGUCUCAUUGUCUUCUAUUGGAUGGAUGUCUGCUUGGGGGUAAUGACCACACAGCUUACCAAACCCCUAUCACUAAAAGCAGCCAGCCCUUUUGGAAAAGGGUUAUCUUGUGGCUCUGACAUCUUGGAAUAUUGGGGUGAAUGGCUGAUCAUGGCCACCCAAGAAGACAUUCUUCUGCUUAUUCUUUAAAUGUUAAAUGACCUUGUUUCUUGAGAUGCUUUGGUGGCAUUCCAGAAAGUGCUCUGGAAGUGGUUAUCACGCUAGAGGUUAUGCCUCAUUUGUGGCUAACUGUGGUGUUAGAUGAGAAAAGUCACCUCUCUCAAUAUUAGAAAUUAUUAACUCCACGAAGUGAAUCAUCCAGACCUAGCUGUGCUAUUCACCUAACUUUUCUUCUUUAAAUGAAAAGAUGCAUGAAACCACCUUUGGUUAUUGAAUUUGUCUCCUAAGAAGAAAAAGCUUCUAGCUCAGCUUUAAUUAUAGCUCUUUCCAUGCUCCUGGCUUAAUUAAAUUUGCCUUACUCCAAGGAAGGGGAAAGCACAUAUGGUUUGUAGUAGUACUAUUUGUAUUUUGAUUACUUGGGAAAAGCCAGGUAAAUAACGCACACUGUUGCUCUUGGAGUAGCUGUACUGUGCAGGUAGUGGCAAGCUGUGCGUUGUGGCCCCUUUUUCAUUGAGGUAUAGUCCUGCCCUCUUUUGAGCUGAUUCCCAGAAGCCCAAGACAGAGAGACCUACCCUUACUUUCAGUGCCUCACCUUUGUCCAGCCUCCUGGGCCCUCUCGCUUUGCAGUGUCUGCAGCAAUGUGUCAGAUUUCUGGGGAACUGACCAAAGCAGCUCUCUGGAAAGAAGCCAGGCCUGAGCCCUGAAGGGAAGUGGUAGCUAAGGUGACCUUGACUAGAGCAUUGUCUCCUCUGAUAUGUUCCUAGUGGAGCUGGAGGGAAUAGCCUUGAAAACCCCAUGUUGUUUCCCUCUGAUGGGGGAUGGAGGGAACAGAACCUUCUGGCACUGGCCCAUUUUAUGGAGAAUUGCUGAGAGUCUUAUGGAGAAACUUUAAGUCAGGUGCUUGGUCCUCGUGUGUUAAAUUAUUCUAUCCCUUCGAAAGCAGAGGAUACUUGAGAAUUCAACUUUCCAUAUCCCCCCACUAUGACAUUUGAUGGGGACUGGUUUUUCCAUCUUGUGAACAGAAGAAUUCAGACGAAUAUUGUCAAAUUCAAAUUUCACUAAAAUACUUUGUUUCAAUUUCUCCAUUUGCAAAUGACAUCUUUUGGGGUUUGGGUUUUUUUUUGUUUUGGUGGGGGUUUUUUGGCUAUGAAUAACACAUUAGGCCUCAAUUUGAGGGGCAAAAAGCCAUGGCUUGACCUCUUUAUCAUUAGUUUAGCAAAUAUUUAUUCAGCACCUCUAGUGUACAAGUCCCUGGGCUGGGUUCUGUGGGUGCAGGAGCCAUAGUCCCCACCUCUGUGAGCUUACCAAAGGGAGCAAAACAGACCCUUUAACAAAGGGCUGAAAGGAGGAGCAUAUGAGCACAUACCACAAGCUCACAAGGGUGAGCUUAGAGGAAGAAGGAUAGACUUCAGGCUGGAGUGCUCAAGCAAACGAUCACGAAGAGAAUUUUAACCAAGCUUUGAAGGUAGAUAGGAUUUUUAGAGCUAGAGAUGGGGGUACCUGGGUGCAGACAGCACUCAGGUUGAAAAGAAUAAGUUCAUGGUCACUGCUAACUUCAUUGUGUUUGUCCCAUGUGCCAGCUUGGGUAGGAUAAGCAUUUGUACACUCCAUGCAUCUCAUUUAUUUCUCAGGGCAGCCUGAAGAGGUGGGACUGCUAUUUUUGUCCUGUUUGGGGAAUGAAGAAACAGGUGUAUAGAGAUCGACAUACUUUGUCUAAGGUCACCUAGCUAAAAUGUGGGAUGCUAGGAUUUAACCUCCUCCUGGCUAGUGCCCAAACCUGUGCUCUGUGCCCUUGGCCAUAUCGAGGUGGGUGAGGAGUGGCAUGCUUGGAGAAGGAAAGGGGGCCCGUCUGACUUUAGGUCAGGGAGCAGGGGAAGUCAGCUUGGGGGAGUGUGUGGAAGAAUGUGAAUGCUUUGCCUAGGGUUUGGGAUUGGGUUCUGAAGGCACUGAGAGUCUGAAGGGUUUUAAACCCAGAAUUCAGUGGUUUGGGAGACCCUGGGGCCCCAGUGGAAGUGCUGAGUGGCAGUGGUGAGCAAGGGAGAGAUGCCUGGUUGGCAGGGAGUCUCUACUAGGAGAUCAGGAUGGCGGGCCCCGGGGCAGUUUGAAAUGGCACUGGACGGAUGAGAGCUUCUGGUUGGUGUACCUGCUUCACGUUUCAGUGCUGGGGAAGUUCAUCCACCCAAGACCUGAAGUUCUUGAGCUUCUAGAGAUGGUGGGUAUUUUAGAUAAGGAUACUUUCCCCCAUUUAAAGGAAAAGGGACAAAUGGAAUUUAAAGGUAAUUAAGGAGCAAGGCAAUCCAACCUGGCUGCCUUGUGAAAGACAUUUUGAAAGAAAGGCAUGUGUCCCUUCUGCUGGAGUUAACAGACCCUUCCUCAGUCAUAGUGGCUGCAGGAUUACAGGGAAAGAUUAGUCCUCUUCUUCCUCAGAGAGCUCCCUUGCUUUUCCCCUCUACCACCAAGGCAGGCAUUCAUGGAUGCAGCCAUCUUUCAUUUUGUACGCGCGCGCGCGCGCACGCACACACACACACACACACACACACACACACACCCCAUUCUGUUCUCAAGUUGGCAAAAGCAAGCCAACCCAGGGUAUCUCAAGACACUAUAAACCAAAAUAGUAGCUGGAAAACAGUGAUGGUAGGUCCUAGAAUUUUAAAUGAAUAAGAUGCUAAAAUUUCAAAAAUAUGUCCUAGAUACAUGAGGACACUGUUAAUAAAUUUCAGUAAGGCUAUCGUUGUAAAUGUAUCUUUUAAAUGGCAUAAAUUUAUCUUCAUGAAGAACUUUGCUGUAUUGUCCUUACUUUUUAUCAUUUUCAGGAGUCCUGUGAAAAUCUCAUCGAGAACCAUUAGUUCCUUUCUGUAUCGUCCAGCCACAGAAGAGAAUUCAUUGGUUCUUUCAGGGGGUCAAAGGAAAGGCAGCAGCUCUUCUGAGGGCACACAUGCCAACACCACUGACUCCCAACCCCUCUUGGGGUUCAGGCUUUGUGUCUUGAUUCUUGGAACUUGAAAUAAGGUCUGCAUGUGGUGUGCUUCACUGGCUGUGACUUAAGAGGACAAUAGACCUUAUAAAUUACCUUGUGGAUGUUGGUUUUUCAAAGAUAGUGCAGUGUAGGGGCACCUAGGUGGCUCAUUCGGUAGGCAUCCGACUUCGGCUUAGGUCAUGAUCUCUCAUUCUGUGAGUUCGAGCCCCACAUUGGGCUCUGUGCUGACAGCUCAGAGCCUGGAGCCUGCUUCAGAUUCUAUGUCCCCCUCUCUCUCUGCCCCUCCCCCAGUCACACUUGGUCUCUCUCUCUCAAAAA